rnacentral:rRNA from 1 species
AUUGAACGCUGGCGGCAGGCCUAACACAUGCAAGUCGAGCGAGCGGCGGACGGGUGAGUAAUGUCUGGGAAACUGUCCGAUGGAGGGGGAUAACUCCUGGAAACGGUAGCUAAUACCGCAUACUCUCACAUGUGCCCAGAUGGGAGUAGCUAGUAGGUGGGGUAACGGCUCACCUAGGCGACGAUCCCUAGCUGGUCUGUGAGGAUGACCAGCAACACUGGAACGGAGAAACGGUCCAGACUCCUACGGGAGGCAGCAGUGGGGAAUAUUGCACAAGGGGCGCAAGCCUGAUGCAGCCAUGCCGCGUGUGUGAAGAAGGCCUUCGGGUUGUAAAGCACUUUCAGCGGGGAGGCGUUACCCGCAGAAGAAGCACCGGCUAACUCCGUGCCAGCAGCCGCGGUAAUAC